rnacentral:rRNA from 1 species
UACAGAGGGUGCGAGCGUUAAUCGGAAUUACUGGGCGUAAAGGGCGCGUAGGCGGUUAUUUAAGUUGGAUGUGAAAUCCCUGGGCUUAACCUAGGAACUGCAUUCAAUACUGAAUGACUGGAGUGCAGUAGAGGAUAGUGGAAUUUCCGGUGUAGCGGUGAAAUGCGUAGAUAUCGGAAGGAACACCAGUGGCGAAGGCGGCUAUCUGGACUGACACUGACGCUGAGGCGCGAAAGCGUGGGGAGCAAACAGG